GACAGAUGAGACUUUCAUGCAAGAAAAUAAAUCCUGCACAUUUGAUGUACUGCUUUAAACUUAAAGACCUCUUUGGACCCGAAAUUGUAAGGAUUCUAUAAACCUGGAGAGUAAUCCUAAGAAAAAUCAUCAGAAGAAAGGAAUUUGUAGAACUAAAACUGCAAACAUCCAGAAUCUUGAUGGUGUGCCAAGCCAAAUGUCAACUGGAACUCAACCAAAAACUAAAGUGCUCUCUGAUAACAGACCCAAAGAAAGAGUGGGUUCAAACAAUUCUCCUACCUCAGCCUCCCGAGUAGCUGGGAUUACAGGUGUACGCCAUUGUGUCCGGAAUUGGUGGGUUCUUGGUCUCACUGACUUCAAGAAUGAAGCCGUGGACCCUCGCGCAUGUCCCUGAAAUGGAGCGAAGGAUACACCAAAGGAAGAGUUGCUACAUCCCAUCUCUCCUGGGAAAGGAACAUGCUGCAGGGAGAGAGUUGCGAGAGCUCUUCACCCUUCUACCCUGCAGCAAAGGAAAAUGGGUCUCCUCAAGGAAGGCAUUUCCCCACAGCAAAGCUGCAAGCAACAUGAAAUAAUGCACCAUGACUAUGGGUUCUUGGCAAAGGAUUCCUGGCCUGGUACAGUUAGAAAUUGGGCUCUAUUCUCAAGCAAAGGGUUCCAACAAAAAAAUACCGCAGCAAGCAGACCGUGGAAUGUGCUUCUCCACUCUUCCAUACGGGGUGAUGGCACAGAAUCAGAGUUGAACAUGGGAGGGAAGUGGAAGGGAUAAAAAUGUAAUGGAAUUGCAGAGUUGUUGGCAUUCAGAUGUGUAGGUGGUGGGUGGCAAGUCCUGCUUAUUGCCUGUGGUUGUGAGAGGCAAUGGUGAUGGGUCUUAUUACAUAGCAGUAAGAGAAGGAGAAAAAAAUAUAUAUCUUUUCAUUUGUCAAAGUUAUUUAUCGCAGGAUUAUUUGUAAUUUUAGAAAUUUGGAGAAAAAUAUUCAAAAUUGUGAAAGCUUUAAAAUAAAUUAUAG
rnacentral:lncRNA from 1 species